UGUUUAGAAGCUUAUUUUGUUCUACUUCAGGUAUGGUUUUAUGGUUAUUUUAUUUUGUUAAUGAUGGUCAAAGUUCUUCAAGUUAUGUUUUAAGUAUAAAUUUCAUGAUUUGUACUAUUUUAUCCAUCUCUGCUUAGAUCUACGAAACUUUGGCGGCGGCUAUGGCGUUUCCGGCGAUUUUACGGUAAUAGGCGUUUUCACAAUGGUAGAUCUGUUGCAGCGACAACAUGUUUCCGACGACGAGCAUGGUGGUGGUUGGAUUCGAAAUGCUUUAUGUGUGAUUUCUUCAGUUUAGGUUUUCAACUUUGGAGAACCAACAUUUACUUUUAAGCAUUUGACUUUCAAUAUUACAGACAAUGGUGAAAGUGAUGAUUGUUGAUGAAAUGAGACAAAAUGAAAGCAGAGAAAGUCUAAGUAAAUUUCACUAUGGAGCUUCAAUUUUAACAGAGAUAAAAAGAAAGCAGAGAAAGUCUAAGUAGAUUGCACUAUGGAGUUAGAAGUGGAUGUUGGGGUGUUGCGACGACUAUAGCGUUUCCGGCGGCUUCUAUGGCGUUUCGACUCUCUUACCACAGUUUGCGGUUUCGCGGUGGAAGAUAUCUUGCGGCGCCAAGUAUGAUGGUAGCUUUGUUUGAAAUGUUAUAUAAUAAUGUAUUUUGGAAUUUCUAUUAUGAUUUGUAUCAAAUUAUGGUAUUUCUAAACAAAUAUUUGAUUUUAUAUGGCAUAUAGUUUCAUUU